rnacentral:rRNA from 1 species
CGCCAGCAGCCGCGGUAAUACGUAGGGGGCGAGCGUUGUCCGGAAUUACUGGGCGUAAAGGGUGCGUAGGCGGCUUGUCAAGUCAGAUGUGAAAUACCCGGGCUUAACCCGGGGGGUGCAUUUGAAACUGGCGAGCUUGAGUGCAGGAGAGGAAAGCGGAAUUCCUAGUGUAGCGGUGAAAUGCAUAGAUAUUAGGAGGAACACCAGUGGCGAAGGCGGCUUUCUGGACUGCAACUGACGUUGAGGCACGAAAGCGUGGGGAGCAAACAGGAUUAGAUACCCUGGUAGUCCACGCUGUAAACGAUGGAUACUAGGUGUAGGGGGUAUCGAACCCCCCUGUGCCGGAGCUAACGCAAUAAGUAUCCCGCCUGGGGAGUACGGCCGCAAGGUUGAAACUUAAAGGAAUUGGCGGGGGAC